rnacentral:rRNA from 1 species
CGGGUGAGUAAUGCCUAGGAAUCUGCCUGGUAGUGGGGGACAACGUUUCGAAAGGAACGCUAAUACCGCAUACGUCCUACGGGAGAAAGCAGGGGACCUUCGGGCCUUGCGCUAUCAGAUGAGCCUAGGUCGGAUUAGCUAGUUGGUGAGGUAAUGGCUCACCAAGGCGACGAUCCGUAACUNGGUCUGAGAGGAUGAUCAGUCACACUGGAACUGAGACACGGUCCAGACUCCUACGGGAGGCAGCAGGC